rnacentral:rRNA from 1 species
CCUACGGGAGGCAGCAGUGAGGAAUAUUGGUCAAUGGGAGGAAUCCUGAACCAGCCAUGCCGCGUGCAGGACGACGGCUCUACGAGUUGUAAACUGCUUUUGUAUCGGGGUAAAAUGCUCUACGAGUAGGGUUUUGAAAGUACGGUACGAAUAAGGAUCGGCUAACUCCGUGCCAGCAGCCGCGGUAAUACGGAGGAUCCGAGCGUUAUCCGGAUUCAUUGGGUUUAAAGGGUGCGUAGGUUGAUUUAUAAGUUAGUUGUGAAAGAUCGCUGCUCAACAGCGAAAUUGCAGUUGAUACUGUCAGUCUUGAGAACAGUUGAAGUAGGCGGAAUGUGUGGUGUAGCGGUGAAAUGCUUAGAUAUUACGCAGAACUCCGAUUGCGAAGGCAGCUCACUAGACUGCAUCUGACACUGAUGCUCGAAAGUGUGGGUAUCGAACAGGAUUAGAUACCCCUGUAGUC